rnacentral:rRNA from 1 species
GUAGGUGGCAAGCGUUGUCCGGAAUUAUUGGGCGUAAAGCGCGCGCAGGCGGGUCCUUUAAGUCUGAUGUGAAAGCCCACGGGCUCAACCGUGGAGGGUCAUUGGAAACUGGGGGACUUGAGUACAGAAGAGGAAAGCGGAAUUCCACGUGUAGCGGUGAAAUGCGUAGAGAUGUGGAGGAACACCAGUGGCGAAGGCGGCUUUCUGGUCUGUAACUGACGCUGAGGCGCGAAAGCGCGGGGAGCAAACAGGAUUAGAUACCCUGGUAGUCCACGCCGUAAACGAUGAGUGCUAAGUGUUAGGGGGUUUCCGCCCCUUAGUGCUGCAGCUAACGCAUUAAGCACUCCGCCUGGGGAGUACGGCCGCAAGGCUG